CCAGCCUGGGCUUUCUCCAGCUGAUUUGUAGGUAAAAUCUCUGACAGUGGAUCUUUUACCCAAGAAUUGCUUAAGAUGUUCUUCAGAUCCUCAAUUUCAGCAGAAUGGCUGACACCAACUGGCAUGGGUGAGCCCAGAGAGAGGCUGGGAAUUAAAAAAAAGUUUACUUAGAGAACAAGCAGUUGCCAGUGAAACGUUGGUGCACUGUAGACUUCAGACAUAAAAACAGCAGCCAUCACUGACUUCUGGCAAAUUCAAGUAAAACAACAAACAUCGAAACUUC
rnacentral:lncRNA from 10 species